GACGAACGCUGGCGGCGUGCUUAACACAUGCAAGUCGAACGAAGUGGCGAACGGGUGAGUAAUACGUGAGUAACCUGCCCUCAGUUUGGGAAUACGACUUGGAACCGGGGUCUAAUACCCAAUAAAGGAGGAUGGGCUAGUGGCCUAUCAGCUGGUUAGUGGGGUGAGUGCCUACCACGGCGGUGACGGGUAGCCGGCCUGAGAGGGUGACCGGCCACACUGGGACUGAGAGCCGGCCCAGACGCCUACGGGAGGCAGCAGUGGGGGAUAUUGCACAAUGGGCGAAAGCCUGAUGCAGCGACGCCGCGUGGGGGAUGAAGGCUGUCGGGUUGUAAGGCACUUUCAGUUGGAGAGCGUUACCAACAGAAUAAGCACCGGCUAACUUCGUGCCAGCAGCCGCGGUAAUUC
rnacentral:rRNA from 1 species